CGCGUAGGCGGUGUGAUGUGAGUGGUGUGAAAGCCCUGGGCUUAACCUAGGAAGCGCACCGCAGACUAUCAUACUGGAGUAGAUGAGAGGGUGAUGGAAUUUCCGGUGUAGCGGUGAAAUGCGUAGAGAUCGGAAGGAACGUCGAUGGCGAAGGCAGUCACCUGGCAUCAUACUGACGCUGAAGCGCGAAAGCGGUGGGGAUCGAACA
rnacentral:rRNA from 1 species